rnacentral:rRNA from 1 species
AUUGAACGCUGGCGGCAUGCCUUACACAUGCAAGUCGAACGGCAGCACGGGAGCAAUCCUGGUGGCGAGUGGCGAACGGGUGAGUAAAGUAUCGGAACGUGCCCAGUCGUGGGGGAUAACGUAGCGAAAGGUACGCUAAUACCGCAUACGAUCUAUGGAUGAAAGCGGGGGAUCGCAAGACCUCGCGCGAUUGGAGCGGCCGAUAUCCGAUUAGGUAAUUGGUGGGGUAAAGGCUCACCAAGCCGACGAUCUGUAGCUGGUCUGAGAGGACGACCAGCCACACUGGGACUGAGACACGGCCCAGACUUCUACGGGAGGCAGCAGUGGGGAAUUUUGGACAAUGGGCGAAAGCCUGAUCCAGCCAUGCCGCGUGCAGGAUGAAGGCCUUCGGGUUGUAAACUGCUUUUGUACGGAACGAAAAGGUUUGGCCUAAUAAGCUGAGCUCAUGACGGUACCGUAAGAAUAAGCACCGGCUAACUACGUGCCAGCCGCCGCGGUAA